AAAGUCGUAACAAGGUUUCCGUAGGUGAACCUGCGGAAGGAUCAUUAGUGAAUAAACCUGUGUGGGUUGUUGCUGACUCUUCGGGGUACGUGCACACCUGCCAGUUUCAUUCAUCCCUUCCACCUGUGCACUCUUUGUAGAUCAUCCUAUUGUAUUCGACAUGCCCUCUGGGUGUCUCGGUGUGAGGACUUGCUUUUCUUGCUGUCCUUGGAUGGGGUGGUCUAUGUCUUUAUCAACUCUUGUAUGUCAUUGAAUGUCUGUUCUGGGUUCUAUUCAGACCCAUAAAACCUUAUACAACUUUCAACAACGGAUCUCUUGGCUCUC
rnacentral:misc_RNA from 1 species